rnacentral:misc_RNA from 1 species
AACAUCGCGCACCUGCGGGAACCUGCGGAGGGAUCAUUACUGAGUCACGUGCUCAAACAACCCUUCUGUGGACCUGAAAUAAAACCGUUGCCUCGGCGGGCGGUCCCCCCCAAACCAACCCCACGUGGUGGGUUAGGGGAGACCAGACAGUCCGGUACGCUUAAGGCGUCCGGCGCCAGCCGCUGGCCCCAAACAAUUAAACUCUAGUGAUCUUUACCUUCUGAGUUUCAAUAUUUAAAA